rnacentral:rRNA from 1 species
AGUGAACGCUGGCGGUAGGCCUAACACAUGCAAGUCGAACGGCAGCACAGUAAGAGCUUGCUCUUACGGGUGGCGAGUGGCGGACGGGUGAGGAAUACAUCGGAAUCUACUUUUUCGUGGGGGAUAACGUAGGGAAACUUACGCUAAUACCGCAUACGACCUACGGGUGAAAGCAGGGGAUCUUCGGACCUUGCGCGAUUGAAUGAGCCGAUGUCGGAUUAGCUAGUUGGCGGGGUAAAGGCCCACCAAGGCGACGAUCCGUAGCUGGUCUGAGAGGAUGAUCAGCCACACUGGAGCUGAGACACGGUCCAGACUCCGACGGGAGGCAGCAGUGGGGAAUAUUGGACAAUGGGCGCAAGCCUGAUCCAGCCAUACCGGGUGAGUGAAGAAGGCCUUCGGGUUGUAAAGCCCUUUUGUUGGGAAAGAAAAGCAGCAGGUUAAUACCCCGCUGUUCUGACGGUACCCAAAGAAUAAGCACCGGCUAACUUCGU